rnacentral:rRNA from 1 species
CAUUACUCAGAGUGCCGUAUGCACCUUUGAGAACCUGUAUUUGUCCCCCUGGCGGGAUUCGCGCCAAUUCAAGCUGCGGUUAAGCCACGCAAACGCGGAUUUCAAAUGGGUGAAAGCCAGCUCCGGCAUGGUACGAAGUCCGUUGCUUUGGGUGAAACACGCUUCUCCGUAGUGGGCCGGUCCCGUCCGGGUACCCUGUUUAAAUUUCACUCGGUCACCUUUCAACCCCUUUUACUUAUCACUAAAUUCGAAUUGCUGGCUGCUUUGGUGCGCCCAAGGCAACCCUCCAAUUCCAAAUGCAUAACUUGAACAACUCUUAGCAACGGAUAUCUUGGUUCUCGCAACGAUGAAGAACGCAGCGAAAUGCGAUACGUAAUGCGAAUUGCAGAAUUCAGUGAAUCAUCAAAUCUUUGAACGCAAAUUGCGCUCUCGGGAAAGGCCUGGGAGCACGCCUCUUCGAGUAUCGAUUUCAAACUACCUCGGCCGCGUGUCGAUUUAUCGCACGCACCGGAAACUGAGUGUCUAGACGCUUAAACGCGCAAAGUCACUUGAAGAAAAGUAUGCGGACUGAAUCCGCCUGAACCUUAGCGAAACGAUUCGUCGUUCCGUUCGUUCUGGUAACGUGGAUAGGUUCUUGAAACCGAAACGUUGGCCAGAAAGAAUGGCAGCAGUUAAAGCGUUGGGCGCUUUCGCCGGCAAUGAAGGAUGUGAACUACGUUCACUAUGAAAGUCAGAUCUCGGAUGAGCGAGAGGACCCGCUGAAUUU